AUUGAACGCUGGCGGCAGGCCUAACACAUGCAAGUCGAGCGGAUGAAGGGAGCUUGCUCCUGGAUUCAGCGGCGGACGGGUGAGUAAUUCCUAGGAAUCUGCCUGGUUGUGGGUUAGAAGGUCCGGAAGCGGGCGCUAAUACCGCAUACGUGCUUACGAAGUAAGUGUGUGAUCUUCGGACCUUAGGAUCUCAGAUGAGUCUAGGUCGGAUUAGCUAGUUGGUUGGGUAAAGGCCUACCAAGGCGACGAUCCGUAACUGGUCUGAGAGGAUGAUCAGUCACACUGGAACUGAGACACGGUCCAGACUCCUACGGGAGGCAGCAGUGGGGAAUAUUGGACAAUGGGCGCAAGCCUGAUCCAGCCAUGCCGCGUGUGUGAAGAAGGUCUUCGGAUUGUAAAGCCCUUUUGGUGGGGAGGAAGGGCAGUAAGUUAAUACCUUGCUGUUUUGACGUUACCCACAGAAUAAGCGCCGGCUAACUUCGUG
rnacentral:rRNA from 1 species